rnacentral:piRNA from 1 species
UACUUCGAAGGUGAGGUCGUCUAUAAA